AAGUAGGAAUCAAGGUCAAU
rnacentral:miRNA from 1 species